AGUGAACGCUGGCGGUAGGCCUAACACAUGCAAGUCGAGCGGCAGCACAGUAAGAGCUUGCUCUUACGGGUGGCGAGUGGCGGACGGGUGAGGAAUACAUCGGAAUCUACUUUUUCGUGGGGGAUAACGUAGGGAAACUUACGCUAAUACCGCAUACGACCUACGGGUGAAAGCAGGGGAUCUUCGGACCUUGCGCGAUUGAUUGAGCCGAUGUCGGAUUAGCUAGUUGGCGGGGUAAAGGCCCACCAAGGCGACGAUCCGUAGCUGGUCUGAGAGGAUGAUCGGCCACACUGGAACUGAGACACGGUCCAGACUCCUACGGGAGGCAGCAGUGGGGAAUAUUGGACAAUGGGCGCAAGCCUGAUCCAGCCAUACCGCGUGAGUGAAGAAGGCCUUCGGGUUGUAAAGCCCUUUUGUUGGGAAAGAAAAGCAGCAGGUUAAUACCCCGCUGUUCUGACGGUACCCAAAGAAUAAGCAACGGCUAACUUCGUG
rnacentral:rRNA from 1 species